rnacentral:rRNA from 1 species
GACGAACGCUGGCGGCGUGCUUAACACAUGCAAGUCGAACGGUGAAGCCCUUCGGGUUGGAUCAGUGGCUAACGGGUGGGUAACACGUGAGCAACCUGCCCCUGGCUCUGUGACAACCACUGGACACGGUGACUAAUACCGGAUUCGACCCGCCUCUGCUUCAAGGGUUGGUUGAAAGUUUUUCGGCUGGGGAUGGGCUCGCGGUCUAUCAGCAUGUUGGUGAUGUGGAGGCUCACCAAGGCGACGACGGCUAGCCGGCCUGAGAGGGCGACCGGCCACACUGGGACAGAGACACGGCCCAGACGCCAACGGGAGGCAGCAGUGAGGACUUUAGCAAAAUGGGCGAAGGCAGGAUGCAGCGUCGCCGGGUGAGGGAAGACGGCCUUCGGGUUGGAACCUACUUGCAGCUCCGAAGACGCGAAAGUGACGGUAGGAGUAGAAGAAGCACCGCCUACCUACGU